AAAUUGAAGAGUUUGAUCAUGGCUCAGAUUGAACGCUGGCGGCAGGCCUAACACAUGCAAGUCGAACGGUAACAGGAAGCAGCUUGCUGCUUCGCUGACGAGUGGCGGACGGGUGAGUAAUGUCUGGGAAACUGCCUGAUGGAGGGGGAUAACUACUGGAAACGGUAGCUAAUACCGCAUAACGUCGCAAGACCAAAGAGGGGGACCUUCGGGCCUCUUGCCAUCGGAUGUGCCCAGAUGGGAUUAGCUAGUAGGUGGGGUAACGGCUCACCUAGGCGACGAUCCCUAGCUGGUCUGAGAGGAUGACCAGCCACACUGGAACUGAGACACGGUCCAGACUCCUACGGGAGGCAGCAGUGGGGAAUAUUGCACAAUGGGCGCAAGCCUGAUGCAGCCAUGCCGCGUGUAUGAAGAAGGCCUUCGGGUUGUAAAGUACUUUCAGCGGGGAGGAAGGGAGUAAAGU
rnacentral:rRNA from 1 species